AGUGAACGCUGGCGGUAGGCCUAACACAUGCAAGUCGAACGGCAGCACAGUAAGAGCUUGCUCUUACGGGUGGCGAGUGGCGGACGGGUGAGGAAUACAUCGGAAUCUACUUUUUCGUGGGGGAUCACGUAGGGAAACUUACGCUAAUACCGCAUACGACCUACGGGUGAAAGCAGGGGAUCUUCGGACCUUGCGCGAUUGAAUGGGCCGAUGUCGGAUUAGCUAGUUGGCGGGGUAAAGGCCCACCAAGGCGACGAUCCGUAGCUGGUCUGAGAGGAUGAUAAGCGACACUGGAACUGAGACACGGUCCAGACUCCUACGGGAGGCAGCAGUGGGGAAUAUUGGACAAUGGGCGCAAGCAUGAUCCAGCCAUACCGCGUGGGUGAAGAAGGCCUUCGGGUUGUAAAGCCCUUUUGUUGGGAAAGAAAAGCAGCAGGUUAAUACCCCGCUGUUCUGACGGUACCCAAAGAAUAAGCACCGGCUAACUUCGUG
rnacentral:rRNA from 1 species